GACGAACGCUGGCGGCGUGCCUAAUACAUGCAAGUAGAACGCUGAAGGAGGAGCUUGCUUCUCUGGAUGAGUUGCGAACGGGUGAGUAACGCGUAGGUAACCUGCCUGGUAGCGGGGGAUAACUAUUGGAAACGAUAGCUAAUACCGCAUAAUAGUAGAUGUUGCAUGACAUUUGCUUAAAAGGUGCAAUUGCAUCACUACCAGAUGGACCUGCGUUGUAUUAGCUAGUUGGUGGGGUAUCGGCUCACCAAGGCGACGAUACAUAGCCGACCGGAGAGGGGGGUCAGCCACCCUGGGAGUGUGACACGCCCCAGACGGCUAGAGGAAGCAGCAGUAGUGAAUCGUGGGCAAUGGGCGGAAGUCUGAGCGAGAAGGGCCGCGGGAGUGAAGAGGGAUUUCGGGUCGUGGAGGUCGGUUGUAGGGGUAGAAAGAGUGUGAGAGUGGAAAGUUCACUGUGUGACGGUAACUUACAAGGAAGCGACGGCUAACUACGUG
rnacentral:rRNA from 1 species